UCCUAUGGAUUUUAGUCCAAGAGGAUCAACUAUGUUAUCUUCACCAAAUCCCCAGAUGGGUGGUUUCCGUGGGAUGCCUGCUCAGGUCCGUGGUUAUGGUAGUCAGGAUGUCCGUGCAGAUGAAAGACAUUCUUAUGAGGGUAGGACCUUGUCAGUUCCCUUGACUCAAAGACCCAUCGGUGAUGAAUCUAUUACUUUGGGUCCCCAGGGUGGUCUUGCUAGAGGAAUGUCCAUAAGAGGACCACCAUCAAUGUCAGCUGCUCCUCAUGCUGAACUAUCUCCCAGUGUCGGAGACUCCAGAAGGAUGACAGCUGGUUUGAAUGGUUUCAGUUCUCUUUCAGAGCGUCCAACUUACAACCCAAGGGAUGAACAUAUGCCAAGACAUUUGCCA
rnacentral:lncRNA from 1 species